rnacentral:rRNA from 1 species
AUGAACAUCUUGAACCAGCCCAUCGGCCCCGGCGGCGCCCACGCGGCCUUCCCGGCCGGCGCUGCCGCCAAGGACGGCGGCAUGCCGGCGUCGCUCCGCUUCGACGUCGGCCCCAGCACCGCCCACCGCGCCCCAAGGCGGCAGACGCAGACGCUGCUUCGGGCCAGCAGCAGCAGCUACGUCGGCGCCGGGCACGCGGACGAGGCCGCGGUCCAGAGCGCGGCGGAGCAGCAGAAGGCCGUCGUGCCGCCGUUCCAGCCGGUCACGCUCAACUUCCUGCGCUCGCUGCUGGACAGGGACAGCAUGACGUCCAUCGCGGAGGAAGGCGGCGAGGGCGCCGGCGUGGCCGCGGCCGCGCCCCCGCUGCACGCGCUGCGCGUGGUCGUGUCGUCCGCCGUGGCGCUCGACGCGCGCCAGACCGAGCUCAUCGCGCGCAAGAUGCGCCGGAUCACCGGCUUCGUCAACCUCGCCAUCGAGAACGUGGUGGAGCCGUCGCUCAUCGCCGGCUUCGUCGUCUGCUACGGCCUCGACGACUCGCACACCAUCGACCUCAGCGUCCGGGGCCGCCUCGCCGCGCUCAAGAACCGCGUCGACAGCUCCGACCACGACGACCGCCUGCACCCGCGGACGCCCGCGCCGCUCCAUUGA